rnacentral:lncRNA from 1 species
AUGCGCAUGCUCCCAAGAGAACAGCCGAUGGUGCGCGCGUCGAAGUAUAGAGGGGACGGCAUUUUGGCUGGCACAGUGCAAGUGGCGUAGCGUGACUGCCCGCAAGCGAGACGCACCGAAAACG